GGGUGUAGGCGUGGGUGCAUGAGGGCGCCUAGUUAGGCGACAAUUCUUUCUCCUUUAGGACUCCUUUGAUAAGUUAUAGAUUAAUUUAAAACCUAUUUGAAUUAGAAAUCUUAGUCUUAUCAAUCAUAAAAAAUUAUCUAUAAAUAAGAAGGACCUCUAACUAUCAUAGUUUAACAAUUAGAUUGUGUGCCAAGGUGAGAAAGAGAGAGAGGAGGCAUGAAGGAGUAGGCAUCACCCUACCCUUGGCGUGUUCCCUUUAGGCGUCCCAUCUUCUCCUUGGCGUGAAGGCAUAUUGGGCGUCCUCUCUUGCUAGUGUGAUGCGUCACAUCAGAGACUCUCUCCCCUCCCUUGUUGCCUUGCCAAGGUACUUCAAUUCGAGGCUUCAUCCUGCUUUCCUACAAGUUUGGCAUGCGUGCGAAGUAAAGGGUUUAUAGAUUCAGACCUACAUGAGGCUUUGAAUUCAGAAUCUUUUAGGAUUUGAUCCCUAUUCCACUGUGUAUCAAGUAAAGAUCUAAUUUUUGUUAAGUUGUUAUAGAAAUUUUUUUAGAUGCACCCUGGCUAUCCGCUUCAUUCACCUAAAGAAACAAGUUUCUUUUCCUUCAGAUACUACCCAAUUCUACAACUUCUUAUUGUUUUCUAGAAGAUCACUGUUGAUAUCCUUCAAUCUUGAUAGAUCUACACCUUAUCUAACUCCCUGGAUGGAGGCGAUGACAAAUAGAUAAUGCAUGUUGUCUAUCCCAUUUACCGAGAUAUGGCUGAAGUGUAACCAUGAUGAAUGGCUCUCAACAUAUCCUUCUUGUCCUUGACGAGCAUGGUGUCUAUCCUCUACUGCUUCAAAUCUUUGAUUGGGAAAGAUAUGUGGACCUACAUCAUGAAUGAUGGCCCUUGGUAGAAUCUCCCU
rnacentral:lncRNA from 1 species